GAUUAUGAGAAACCAGAUCUCUUACUAUCUCAGCAAAUGGUGGGACCAAAUAAUUCUGAGGAUCUUGGAGGGGUUUCGUCUUAAUUGCGGAAAAAGUGACACAGCUGCACUAUAGAAAAAAUGAGAGACUGACAAAGAAGUUGCAUAACUUUUCCAAUGUCGUACAACUGGAUUUGGGAUCCAGACGAUUCACCUCCAGAACCCUGGCCUUCACCAUACUGAGGGAACAACAUUGAAAGAUUGGCCCCAUGCUGAAAUGCGCCUGCAAAAAUAAGUAAGAAACUUCAGAUGUAUACAAGACUUAAAAGGCAAGACUACCACUUUUAACAAUGAGGGAGAUAUCAUCUUUCCAGUCCUUUUUCGACCAGCUAUGAUGAAGAGAUACCAUAACACCUGGAGGAAAUUAGGAUUCUCCCUAAUCCUUUCAACACAAACAUGUGACAACAAGAUGUUCUGGCUGUUUAAAAAAAAUCUAAGGGGAACCUGGCUGGCUCAG